AUGAAAUCGGAAGCAAAACCCCGACGGAGUGAUCGAGAAAACCAGAGCAUCGAUUCGCCUCAACCUUCUUCGUUGAUUCGCUUCCGCAAGAUCCCAGUCUUGUCCGGUUAUCAAGAUUGUAACAAUGAGGAUGAUGAUGAAGAACGACAGUUGCAACUAUUGAAGGUUGCUGACGAUGAUGAUUGGAGCUUAAAAAUCAUUAAAGAUUGCAGUGAAGCUUUUGGUGGAAGGUUGAAGAAGGGAGCAUAG